GUCUAGCCCUGAUUGAAGUGACAUCCUUUUUGUUUUUCACAAAAAGAUAUAACGAAAAGCAGGAAAUAGC
rfam:Polaribacter sp. SA4-12 genome.